rnacentral:other from 1 species
UGUUCCCUGCGGUGUUCGUUUAGGCUCAUAUUCUUUGAACCAUUCUUUGAGAAUUGGUUGCUAACCAUAGUGAUGCUGUUGUGCGCGUCCCAUGCGGAAGCGCCUGAUGCGUCCGGCAAGCGACCACCUUGGACCUUAAGGUUCAAGAUAAUGGCCUGACGGCAUUUGCGGGGGACUU